AACUGUGGGAACUUUUACUUCACCGGGUUUCCUUCAGAACUCACACAGGUACGCGUGAGCAGUGAGCACUCAUACUUCGUGCGCACCUGGCGGUGUCUCUGAAGCUCAGCCUACAGGGCGUGGAAAAGCCCUGGAAUUGUUUUCGACGCUGGUUUCCCAACAUCGCCCAUACUUCUUCGGAUUUCCCUAACAAAGUGUACUGCCUCCCCGGCUUUUCGCAAGGAAUACUCUUUUUUCCCCCCUACUACCUUCACCGAUCCACUUGGAAGACGAAUUAUGUAAAGCUUUUACCACGAUCGCUCUCUGGCAGUUAUCGAACAGAAAUCUUGAUCUGCCAUAGCGAGUUGUUUCUCAGAAAGGGAGACAGGAAGAGAAAGAGAGAGAGACAGAGAGCUGCUAACUUGGGAAGUGAACGACCUGUUAACUGAUUGACCUCCACUUGCCUCCAGUUGCAUUUAAUGUGUUUCUGCAGCAGCACUCAAGAGGAUCAGAGGAAACAACAGGAGGAGGAGAGCAGAGAGAGGGGGAAAGUCAAAAUGUCUUUCUGGAAGCUCCUGAGAAACAAUUAGCUGUCAGAUGCGGUGAGACUGGCCAUGUCCUAUGCCGCCCGCUGAGGAGUUUCAGCUCAGAGUAUCGAUUCUCCUUCCUCAACCAUCCUCUUCCUCCUGCUAUCUCAGCCGUGCAUCUUCCCUCCUCCGUUCUUUCCACUGGAUGCAAAGAUAAAACUACAGAAGGGAGGACAAAUCUCUCUGAUACAUUCUCUUAUUUUGUCUCACUUUCUCUGGAAU
ensembl:lncRNA